UAUCUGUUAGUGUAAGCAACACUAGUAUGAAAGACAGCGGCACAGCCAGUGAAAAUCAUAUAAAAGCAACACACGCCGGCAGCGCCGACUAGUAUAUAGCUGUUACUGUAAGCAACACUGCUGUCUGUAUGACAGACAGCGGCACAGUCGGUGCUUAUCAAGGGCGCCAGUGUUGUAUAAAUAGCUGUCAGUGUAAACAGCACUUAAACAGGUACGAAAGACAGCAGCACUGCCGGUGCGUAUCAUAGAAGGCAACGAGCAGUGGCAGUGUAGAGUGUAAACGGCAAUACAUGUCCUGAUGAAUACAGCAGCACAGCACCGGUGCAUAUCAUAGGAAGCCAGUGAGAGCACUAGAAUUUACAGCAGUUAGUAUAGACAAGCACUACACUGCGCUACUGAAAACAACCGCUUAGCUGGUCUUUAUACGGUGAUACGUCAUAACCUUGUGAAGGCUGAAACUGCCUGCCCGGAUGCUUUGUACGCGACAGCUCACCGCUGGGUCGGGGGAGCUGUUUAUAUGAUUAAGUAAGCGAUCGGAGCAAUCUGCGAUCUAGCAGGCAAAGUACCGCGCUGAAGCGGGGCACUGAUGUUAUGUGAGCAGCUGAAGCGCCUUGGCUGGGAUAUGUUGUGCUUUGCACAAUCCAGAACGCCUCUGAGGCGGGCGAAUUCUGACGCUCACUUUUUUAGCAUCACAAUGCGGGCAGUUAGGGCCCUCAGUGGCGGCUUCUGUGUGGGAGCGGCCAGGCAGAAGACGCAAAGUUCGAGUCCGUCGGAGAUCCCGAUGGGUCCCACGCAGAUCGGGUAAACAUAAAUGAUAUCUUCAAUCCAUACUCCACCGGAACGCUUAAGGGAUUAGCAAAGCAAAUUCCACAAUCCUCUUUGGCGAUGAAUCAAUGGCGAAGACCUAAGCAUUAUGAUGAAGGAGAAAGAUUGUGAUGAAAUUCCACUCGGCGCCGCUUAUAUAGGGCGAUUUCCCGCCACCCUUUUUGCGUGCUCGAGCGCAAUUGGCCAUUGCAAUUCAAUGGCGUUAAGCGAAUAAGGCUUCAGUAUUUGAGGAGAAAGGUGUUUCCCCAAUGCGAUCAGCUUAAGCUGUAUGCAACUUCGAGAGACCCUCUCGAAAGGGAACUGGUUGUGUCAAAGCAGCUAUACAGUGUCAAACAGGAAAU